AAUGGCGGCUGCCCGCCGCCAUCUCGCGGAGCGGGCCUGCGGAGCUGCGCCUUGGCGAAGGGAAAGCUGCGCUCCGGAGGAGCUGUGAGCGCACCUCUCCUGCCAGGGCUGCCCUGCCCGGCCGCGGGCUCGCCCCAGGGACAGCCCGGGGAGCGCGUCCCUCGCUGAGCCGUGCCCGGUUAUGGACUGCCGGCACCCUACGGCUCCGUGCGGUCCGUCCCACACUGCUGUGGGCGCCGGGCGAAAAUAACCCAACGCGGGUAAAGAUUAAGCGGAAUGUUGAGCGAAAGUAUCUGCAUCCCUCUGUUUACAUUUUCCUAUCUUAGUUUUUCCUGGGACUGAAGGAAAUGGGAUUUCUGCUGCUGCAUUAGACAGGGACGCUGGCAGGCAGGGCUGCACCGCGGCGCCAGCAGAAAUUCUCUUUCAGAAAGCUUAUUCCUAAGGGAAACGCAGCAGACUUCCAGCAGCUCGUUCUUCUUUUCACUCGCUUUUCCUGACAGAUUCAUUGAGCUCCGAGAAAGAUCACUUGCCCAAAGCUCUGUGCUGAAACCAGUGAAAAGACAGCUUCCUCCUGAGGCAUAUGCCAAACUUUCAUAAUCUGUCUCGAAACAUUCUGGAAAAUCAUGCUCAAUGUCUGAACUGCUGUCCUACAUUGCAGAAGUUGUCAGCAGAUUGGAAAGUGCUAUUUCAGCUGCAACUUUAAAUUUACCCACACUAAGCCCAACGAACUGUGGUUUUCCUGGGGAGGAAAAGGAAAAAAAAAAAUUCAUGUAUGAAAAAAUUAAUUUUUUUUUUCCAGGAGUAGAAUACAGCAGCGCCUGCAAUAGGACAAAUCUUGAUUGCCCACUCACACUUCUGUUGUCUAUGUAGUAGACAGAGGCAACAGAGGAAAGAUAAAGUCAAUUCCUUGUGACAGAAAUGAAAUUUCACCAUGUUUAGUAAUCUCUUAUCUGCUCUCUCCUAAAUAAACAAUCAGUGUCUGCAGGACCACAACAAGACAUUUAAGCUUUCUCAACUAAACGUGACAGGUCCACAAGUGUACUGUAAAAGGAAAGGUCUGGUCAGCAACAGCUGGAUUACAGGAUAUAUGUAGAAUUUGCAGAUUCUACAGAAUCUGCAGUCUCAAACUAUUUCCCUGAGGAUGUGUGAUUGGACUAGAUAAUAUUUCUUCCUCAUCAUUCUUGGAAGGGAGCUACUACUGAAGAGUCAAAGACCCCCCUUCUUUCUGCUGUGGAUGAUCCUGCAGUCCUAGGCUAGACCUACAGGUAGAAAUGCUUGUCUCACUACUUGAUUGAUGAGGUAUGAGGUACUCUCUGAAGAUUUAUAUACUUUUUAGUUUUCAGAAUAUAUCUAAAAAUGUCUUUUGAACUGAAAUCUGGUAAGGUCUACUGACCAGCAGUAGUUUGCUCUCAAGAUUAGGCAUUUUGGAUCACUGCCAGAUAAACAGGGGCUGAGCAUAUGCUGGAGACAGCAGUCUGCAGGCUCUUGGGAGAUCCAGAAUCCAUUUUCCAAAAAGGUUUUCAAGGAAGAAAGUAGUUGAGAAAAUUAGUGUCUUGAUAGGCAAAGGUGUGGGUCAUGGGACUGGAAGGAGUUGUUUCUGUUGCCUACUGAAACAUAACUCUUCCCUAUUAUCUUGUCUCUCUUAUACCCUUAAACAGUUCCAGGUCCAACUACUCCUUCAAGGUUUAAGACACUGUUUAGAAAAAAACACUGAAAGGCAAGCAUACAUUUUGGACUGAAGUUAAAUGUUAAUAUGACAAAGUCAAAUAUAUGCUUUAUAUAAAUAGUUGAUCUUUGGAAGUAAGUUUCCUUUGGGGAGAAAGGAAGGGGAGAAAAAAAAAUACUACACAAUGCAAGAGAGAUUCCAGAAUUCCAGUGGCUAUUCAUGAUAAAAUUCUUGAGGGCAUUUUUUUAAAGCUUAUCUGUAAUGGUGAUUUCCUCUGCAAGACUGGGAAAGUACUUGAAUAAUAGAAAGGUGUCCUGAGGUCUAGUACAUCAUUUUACCAGGUGUGCAAACUUGAGGUCAGUGCUCGACUCUCCCUGAUGAUAUGCAGAAAUAGGGUUGAGGAAUUAUGGCACACAAAAGCAAUUUUGCUAUGACUGAUGGAAGAAAAAAUAAUGUAUGGAAACCUGGGGAGAGGAGAAGAAAUAGAAAGAUUUCAAGGUAGGAACCUGGACCUUCCUCUUGCACUCUCUCCAACAGGCUUAAAGAGUAUUGUGAUGCUGGAAAAUGCAUGGAAAUUGCCAAGAAGACCUGACUGUUCUCCCCCGUCUACCACUGUCACACAAAACAAUAAACAACUUUUAAAAAACAAUUUUCCUAUAAUGACAAAGUUGGUAACAUGUCUUGUAUGACAGUUCAGACAAAGUUAGAAUUGCUGUAGAUAUCAAGUUUAAUGAGAAUUUACAGAAGCAAAACUAAGGUAGUUUAGAAAAGUGUUUCCCCAUAUAACUGAAAAGAAAAAAAUCAAGUAAAUAAAUCUCAUAAACACUUCCUAGAAUAUCUUUUUCUCAUUUUCUGUCAUAGCUUUCAGGUCAGAUUGCAUGGAUUAAAAAUUCUGCUCGUACUGAAAGCAGGACAACUUAGUAUCUGAAUCUGAAGAUGCUACAUCAUUCUUGGAAGACUGUGGGAAACAAAUAUAGAUGGGCUCUUUAUAUAGGAAGGCAAACCUCAUGAAGUACCAAAAUAUUCUGUGGAAAAUGUACUUGUCCAUCUUGCCUAAAAAUAUGAAACUUGUUACAGAAAUGCACCUUCAAAUUUAAUCACUGCUCUUUAUUUUGUGCCAGGUCUUUAUCAGUCACACAAUUAAUAGUGUACCACCUAUCACAUUUCUAUUACCAAGCCCUACAUGCUCAUUGUGACAGUUUUUUUCUAAAUUUAAUUAGUUUUGAUUUAUGUGGCCAUUGAGAAAAUUAGGAUCUAUGAGAAACAGAGCUUGAAUCUGCUCUGAGUCAAUGUUAUGGAGAGAAAGAUUAGCAUUAGAAAAUAAACAUGGCAGUUCCACUGUGUAGCACCUUCUCGAGAAAAUAUAUACCCAUUUUUAGCUGCCAUGCAAGUGCUGUUGGCUUUGUAACUGACUGUGAACAUGUGAGAACAAAAAAAUGAUGCUGUGUCAGUGUGUGGGCUGCAACUGAGAACUCCUGGCUCAUACAUUUUGCCCCAUAAGCAGUUCUGGCAUUGUAUGCAGUCUUAUUGCUGUUUUCUUUGUCCUCAUUGAUCCUGCUAUACUGUUACUCACAUUUUGGGCUCCCAACUUUCUAUAAAAAAAACUCUGUAAUUUAAUUCACUGUCUUUUUGGUAGAACAUUCUGACCACUAAUUCUUCUAAGCUCAUUAUUCUCUUUUUUUUUUCUAGGCCUAAGGACUAAAGACGUAAACAUCUUUAAACAUUUUUUUUUUCUUUCCUAAAUCUUCCCUCUGUGAUAUUGAAGAAUCAUAAAGUAUCAUCACCAAACACAAUUUUGUAUCUGGAAAAUGCAUUGAAAUCACCUAUGUAACCUGCAUGAAAAGUAAAUAAAUUUGUCUUACAUUAUGCAUGAACUAUA